GGGUUGUGAGGUUAAGCGACUAAGCGUACACGGUGGAUGCCCUGGCAGUCAGAGGCGAUGAAGGACGUGCUAAUCUGCGAUAAGCGUCGGUAAGGUGAUAUGAACCGUUAUAACCGGCGAUUUCCGAAUGGGGAAACCCAGUGUGUUUCGACACACUAUCAUUAACUGAAUCCAUAGGUUAAUGAGGCGAACCGGGGGAACUGAAACAUCUAAGUACCCCGAGGAAAAGAAAUCAACCGAGAUUCCCCCAGUAGCGGCGAGCGAACGGGGAGCAGCCCAGAGCCUGAAUCAGUGUGUGUGUUAGUGGAAGCGUCUGGAAAGGCGCGCGAUACAGGGUGACAGCCCCGUACACAAAAAUGCACAUGCUGUGAGCUCGAUGAGUAGGGCGGGACACGUGGUAUCCUGUCUGAAUAUGGGGGGACCAUCCUCCAAGGCUAAAUACUCCUGACUGACCGAUAGUGAACCAGUACCGUGAGGGAAAGGCGAAAAGAACCCCGGCGAGGGGAGUGAAAAAGAACCUGAAACCGUGUACGUACAAGCAGUGGGAGCACGCUUAGGCGUGUGACUGCGUACCUUUUGUAUAAUGGGUCAGCGACUUAUAUUCUGUAGCAAGGUUAACCGAAUAGGGGAGCCGAAGGGAAACCGAGUCUUAACUGGGCGUUAAGUUGCAGGGUAUAGACCCGAAACCCGGUGAUCUAGCCAUGGGCAGGUUGAAGGUUGGGUAACACUAACUGGAGGACCGAACCGACUAAUGUUGAAAAAUUAGCGGAUGACUUGUGGCUGGGGGUGAAAGGCCAAUCAAACCGGGAGAUAGCUGGUUCUCCCCGAAAGCUAUUUAGGUAGCGCCUCGUGAAUUCAUCUCCGGGGGUAGAGCACUGUUUCGGCAAGGGGGUCAUCCCGACUUACCAACCCGAUGCAAACUGCGAAUACCGGAGAAUGUUAUCACGGGAGACACACGGCGGGUGCUAACGUCCGUCGUGAAGAGGGAAACAACCCAGACCGCCAGCUAAGGUCCCAAAGUCAUGGUUAAGUGGGAAACGAUGUGGGAAGGCCCAGACAGCCAGGAUGUUGGCUUAGAAGCAGCCAUCAUUUAAAGAAAGCGUAAUAGCUCACUGGUCGAGUCGGCCUGCGCGGAAGAUGUAACGGGGCUAAACCAUGCACCGAAGCUGCGGCAGCGACACUAUGUGUUGUUGGGUAGGGGAGCGUUCUGUAAGCCUGUGAAGGUGUGCUGUGAGGCAUGCUGGAGGUAUCAGAAGUGCGAAUGCUGACAUAAGUAACGAUAAAGCGGGUGAAAAGCCCGCUCGCCGGAAGACCAAGGGUUCCUGUCCAACGUUAAUCGGGGCAGGGUGAGUCGACCCCUAAGGCGAGGCCGAAAGGCGUAGUCGAUGGGAAACAGGUUAAUAUUCCUGUACUUGGUGUUACUGCGAAGGGGGGACGGAGAAGGCUAUGUUGGCCGGGCGACGGUUGUCCCGGUUUAAGCGUGUAGGCUGGUUUUCCAGGCAAAUCCGGAAAAUCAAGGCUGAGGCGUGAUGACGAGGCACUACGGUGCUGAAGCAACAAAUGCCCUGCUUCCAGGAAAAGCCUCUAAGCAUCAGGUAACAUCAAAUCGUACCCCAAACCGACACAGGUGGUCAGGUAGAGAAUACCAAGGCGCUUGAGAGAACUCGGGUGAAGGAACUAGGCAAAAUGGUGCCGUAACUUCGGGAGAA
rnacentral:rRNA from 1 species